rnacentral:rRNA from 1 species
UACGUAGGGUGCGAGCGUUGUCCGGAAUUAUUGGGCGUAAAGCGCGUGUAGGCGGCCUUGCAAGUCGGGUGUGAAAGCCCUCAGCUCAACUGAGGAAGCGCGCCCGAAACUGCAGAGCUUGAGUACCGGAGAGGAUGGCGGAAUUCCCCAAGUAGAGGUGAAAUUCGUAGAUAUGGGGAGGAACACCGGUGGCGAAGGCGGCCAUCUGGGCGGAUACUGACGCUGAGACGCGAAAGCGUGGGGAGCAAACAGG